rnacentral:rRNA from 1 species
UACGUAGGGUGCGAGCGUUAAUCGGAAUUACUGGGCGUAAAGCGUGCGCAGGCGGCUUUGCAAGACAGAUGUGAAAUCCCCGGGCUCAACCUGGGAACUGCAUUUGUGACUGCAAGGCUAGAGUACGGCAGAGGGGGAUGGAAUGCCGCGUGUAGCAGUGAAAUGCGUAGAUAUGCGGAGGAACACCGAUGGCGAAGGCAAUCCCCUGGGCCUGCACUGACGCUCAUGCACGAAAGCGUGGGGAGCAAACAGG